CCCGAAGUAUCCUGAAUCUUUCGCAUUGUUAAUCAUACAAGUGCAUAUAAUAAACAUAAAAAUCAAUGAUAAUUAUGCCAUUAUAUAAUUCCGAAAAAUUAACGCACUGUAUUCUUAUUAAUCUAUCAACACUUUAUCAAAUUAAUGACAUUUAUUCUGUGUUAAAAUGCAAGCAAUUUAAUUGGAAUAAACUAUAAGCCAUAUUUUAUGAUAAAUUUUNUAUGUUAAUAGAUUACAAUGUCCUUAUAUGGAAAAAAUGCACACUAUUUGUAUAAUAUUAUUUUAAUAUUAUAACUCUAAUGAUGAAUUUUCCAUAAUGGAUAUUCAGGUUCAUCGGGC
rnacentral:rRNA from 1 species